AUGGCCGAGACCGCCCUCGGCGCCGCACAAUGGGUGGUGAGCAAGGCGCUAGCCCCGGUCGCGGAUGGCGUGCUGGAGGCUUGGGCGGCCACCAGGACAUUUGGUCUCAACAUCCAGGCCCUCAAAACUGAACUGGAGAAGGUGCAGGCCACGCUCGAAAUAGCUGCCACCAAGGAGCUCCCUGGGCUGGCCACGGAGAAGAUGCUGCAGAAGCUGUGGGACUCGGCGCACAAUGCCGAGGACUUGCUGGACGAGCUGGACUACUUCCGCAUCCACGACGAGCUCCACGGCACGUACGACGCUGCCGACCAGCACGGCGACGAUGUCCUCCGUGACCUCGCCUUUGAUGCUCGCCACACCAUCAAAGCUCUUGGCAAACUGGUCAACUGUUUCCCAUGGCAGCGUGCUGAGCUCCAGCAGAGGUCACACGGCGAUUCGUUCUCAGCAUCACAAGCCAACCAGGAGGUCAGCGGAUGCAUGCCCAGCCUCGGUAAACUUCUCCUUUCCUCAUGUUCCCCACAUCCACAUGUUCGUGGUGAUGAAGAUCGUGGCAUUGCGCAAGAAACACCGAUGCCUGAGUUUAACAGGGCUGAUUUCUCCCAAAGGAUGAGGGACACUGUAGAGCAACUAAAGCUUAUGCGUAAUGAUGUUAAGGAUAUUCUGCAGACUUGUGGCCAUAGAACUGUCCUAGACAUUGCUCAGCGUCGUGUCACCACCACACCUCAGAGUGCAGAGCCAAAACUGUAUGGGAGGGACCAUGUCAUGAAUAAUAUCAUACAUGAUAUCACCGAGGGUCAAUACUGUGACAAGGGUCUAACUGUGCUUCCGGUUAUUGGUCCGGGGGGAAUGGGGAAGACAACUAUGAUACAACACAUAUAUAACAACCAGCAAGUGCAGAAUCAUUUUUCAGUCAGGAUUUGGAUAUGUGUGUCGUUCAAUUUCAACUUGGGUAAGGUGCUAGAACAGAUUAAAGAAGAUACCCUUACGGUUGAAGGUGAGAAUGGGUGUAGCACAACACAAGAGCUGAUUGAACACAGAUUGAAACACAAAAGGUUCUUACUUGUAUUGGAUGAUAUAUGGCAGUUUACUGAUGUGGAUGACUGGAAAAAACUAUUGUUGAUACUAGGCAAGUCACAAGAGAAGGGUUCCGUGAUUCUAGUCACAACUCGGCAAAAGGAAAUAGCAGACCAAGUUAAGAAAAGUGCAGAGCCAAAAGAACUGAAUGGUUUAGAACCUGGAGAGUUUAAGAAGUUAUUCCUUGUAUAUGUCUUUGAUGCUGAGCAAUGUCCAGGGGAUAAACGUUUUUUGCUUGACACUGGAGAUAAGAUAAUGGGAAAACUAAAGGGCUCCCCUCUUGCAGCAAAGACCGUUGGUAGAUUACUGAGGACAGACCCUAGUUUGGCUCAUUGGAAAAGGGUCCUAAACAGCAAACAAUGGGCGAAACAGUCCAAUGGAAUUAUGCUUGCCUUGGAGCUUAGCUAUGGCUUUCUCCCUUUCCAUUUGCAACGGUGUUUUUCCUAUUCUGCAUUAUUUCCUGAAGAUUACCGUUUCAGAAGCCGUGAGCUCAUCAGCCUAUGGAUCGGACUAGAUAUUUUGACACCUUCUGAUCAAAACCCAACCUUUGAAGGCAUAGGUCUGAGCAUUUUGAAUGAUUUAGUCAUCCAUGGAUUUUUCAGAGAAUAUAAAACUGAUGGUGGUCUGCGGUAUGUUAUGCAUGACCUACUGCAUGAGUUGGCAUUGAAGGUUGCAUCACAUGACUGUCUUCGUCUUCGUCUCCCUGAUGUUGGAUCGGUAGAAAUUAAGCCAUCCACCCGACACUUGUCUAUAAGCAUAGAGAACUUGGGUGGAUAUAAUGGUAAAAAAUUAAAGAGGGAAUUGGAAAAACUGAAGACAAGAUUGAAGGUUGAACAUUUGCAAACACUGAUGUUAUUUGGAGCGAUGGAUGAAGGUUCUGCUAAGAUAUUUGGUGAUUUUCUCGGGGAAGCAAAUGCUCUUCGUGUUCUUUAUUUGCCCCUCCUAAAGUAUCCCGUGGAGUCCAUGGGUUCUAGAUCUUAA
rnacentral:rRNA from 1 species